rnacentral:rRNA from 1 species
GGCGACCGGCGCACGGUGAGUAACACGUAUCCAACCUGCCGAUGACUCGGGGAUAGCCUUUCGAAAGAAAGAUUAAUACCCGAUGGCAUAGUUCUUCCGCAUGGUAGAACUAUUAAAGAAUUUCGGUCAUCGAUGGGGAUGCGUUCCAUUAGGUUGUUGGCGGGGUAACGGCCCACCAAGCCUUCGAUGGAUAGGGGUUCUGAGAGGAAGGUCCCCCACAUUGGAACUGAGACACGGUCCAA